rnacentral:rRNA from 1 species
UACGUAGGGGGCAAGCGUUGUCCGGAUUUAUUGGGCGUAAAGAGCGUGUAGGCGGCCUGGUAGGUCUCGCGUCAAAACCUGCGGCUCAACCGCAGUUCGCGUGGGAAACCACCUAGCUAGAGUCCGGAAGAGGAGAACGGAAUUCCUGGUGUAGCGGUGAAAUGCGCAGAUAUCAGGAAGAACACCCGUGGCGAAAGCGGCUCUCUGGAACGGUACUGACGCUGAGACGCGAAAGCGUGGGGAGCGAACAGG